rnacentral:lncRNA from 1 species
AAUAUAUCAAGUGCACGGCAGGCACUAAAACCGAAGGCAAAUCUCAGGUGAAAUCUCUGGUAUGCUGCAAAUAUUUGAUAUCAUUAAAAUUUCAACAGAAUUUAUAUUCUCAAUGCGAAAAGGCUUUCUUCUUGCUUCUUGCUUCUUGCUUCUUGCUUUUUAUAUAUUUUUUUUUGUUUAGUGCUUUUCAUAGGCAAAGCAAAACAUUCAUUGCUUUCCGUGGAGCGAGGCUCGAGUUUUAUUUAUUUAUUUCCGGAAGCGUGCCCUUGAGAUUUGGGCUUUCUCUUGGGGUAUUCGCCACUCUCCACCCCCACCCAAGACACUCCUAUAGAUACACACACACACACACACACGCACACCAAAGAACAUGGCUGUUCAUUAGGUUUUGUUGCUUCUUACGCUUUUUGCGGCACUCGCGCGUGUCUGAGCCCUGGCAAUGGAGUUCUUCAAAAGUUUUCAUUGCUCUCCCCCCUCUCCCACUCCCACAACCACGCCCCCUAAGCGUGUCCUAGGCCAUGGGGGCCCCUGUUGGCUUUCUUUGACCAUCUGCGCUGUGCUGUGCCUCUCUAAUGAAAACACAAUACAAAUUUUGCGCUUUUCUGCCUUCCCAAGUGGCUGAGAAAUUGUUUGAUGAGUUUGUCAGCUUGUGGAAAUCGUGCUCAGUGCCUCUGCCUCUCCAAGUCCCUGUCCUUGGUUGCAUACUUAUUAAGCAAACUGUCUGUCUGUCAGACAGUCUUUCUCCUUUUGGUUGAAUGUAAUUAAGUUCCUUGGUCCGAGGAACCUCCACACUGCCAUGCAAAUUGCCUUAUGGCGCGUUAAUUAUUUGAUGAUGUCACAAUACACUCUACAUUUUCCACUAGAUCCUCAACAGUUGUUCAAUUAGUUGAAGGUAUUUAGCGCAUAAAAUAUUUAUUGCUUUGGUGGGAGGCUCGACUUGAAUUUCAAACACAACCACAAUUGAUUCGAAGCCAAAAUCCAGCGAAAUCACCUGUACUCCAUGUGCCACUUCUCUGGCUCUGGCUGCUAGUCCUUCCUCCAGCCAGGAAGAACUCGCUUUGAAACUGACACGGACACGUUGCAUACACUUUCGUGGCGCAAAUCUCAUUUCCCUUGUGGCUGCAAAAGCCACUGAAAAAAGUACACAGCUCCCCUGCCCCCGCCGCCACCCUCUUUGCUUUUUUUUGUUUUUUGGCUUGCAGUUUGCCGGGGGGAUAACCCAAUUUGCUGGCCACUGCUCCACUGGCGGGUUGCUGCCUCUUUGCUGACGUCACAGUUUCGCACCUCGCACAACUUGCUUUCUGUGUCACACACACACACACACACACAUACAAAGAGAGAGACAGAGAGAGGGAGAGAGAGAGCGAGCUGUACUGUGCGCUCUACAUUAUGGCCAAAAAAUGGACGCAGCAAAACAACAAAAUGCCAUUGGAAUGAGAGGCAUAAAAAAUGGUAACAAAAUUACAUACAUCAAAGGUGCUUUGCUUUGCCUUGGUUUUUUUCCUCUUUUAUGAAUUUGAGAGUGUGAUCUGAAGCGGCUGGGAGGGAGCCCGGGAUAAGCCUGGGAUCUGGUUUAAGGGUUGCUGCAGACCCCCACUUGAGUCCCCUACUGGGGCUGUCGCUGACCAAUGGACCGUGUAAUUUUUUUGGCAAGCAUCCUUUGGAGUUCUGCUGCUGCUGCUGGCCCCUUUUCGUCUGACGAUUGCUUUUCCAUGUUACCUUUUCCCCCACGCCGCCACAUCCACAGCCUCCACAUUUGUGAUGAAUGUGCGAUGGGCUCGUGCCUGCCUCUGCUCAUCUCAUCUCCUUUCUUCUCUCUUUUUUUUUUUUGGUCAAAUAAACUUGGCAAAUAUGCGAUGGCGGCCUUAGUUUAAAGCCAAAGCACGCGCCGAUUGACAUCAUUAAGUUCGGGGCCAAAGGGACGCCAAAGGGGUUGCGCCACUAAAUCAUGUUUUUGGCCAACAAAAAAGUAUGACAACAGCAACAAAAAACAUUGAAUGCACAACCAAACAACAAAUGGCCCACAAGGGACGGCACACACGGCUAACGGCUACCACGAGUAUAUUAUAUUAUAAUCGUACAUAAAUAUGUACAUAAAUAUGCAGAGUUUUGAUUUAUGCAAAAUAGUUCCAUUUUUGGGGCAGCGAUAACAAAAGAGUUGACCCGGAAAAUUGACUCAUUUAACCAGCUAAAGUAUGUGGAUGUAGAUAUGUGAUGGCACAUAAAAAACUAUGAAAAAUUACUGAUCAAAUGGGAAAUGUGUGUCUUUAUGCUGAGUGCAAUAACUCUGCUGUGCGUAAAGAAGAAUCUAAUGGUAAAUGAAUAUCACAAAAUAUGUAAUUACAUGUGUAUCCCUGAGCUUCUUCUUUCACAGCAAAGAACGGUGAAGAAAUGCCACAUCCAACAGCAUUUCAGAAGCACUUUCGAGUGAAGCAUUCCAAGAAAUGUAUUAUCCAUCUGCCACUGCGUUGCAUGCCCCUUAAUGCUACUUUAUUCCCUACUCGUAUUGUAUGCCCCGGCUAACUCUUGAUGAAUUCCAGCAGCACAAAACACACAAAAGUAUUCAUAUUUAUGCGAAGUCUCCAGCUGCUCGACGCCUGUUUCCCCAGACUGGAUCUACUAUAAACAAGCAUGAAGACAGGCCGUAAAGUUGAUAAACCAAAACCCCAAAAACAUCCAAGGUAUGUACAUACUUUCCCCUAACCCAUCUACACUCAUCGUAGGGCUUGGCAGCUCUGAUUCCCCCCUACGAAAUGGGCUGCUGUUUGCGGCUCCUUCUCGCCUUGUUUGCACAUGGUUAUUGAUAGUGCUUCAAUCUGAGGAAAUAAUAAAUAAAUGAGCCUAACGUCACGGCUCAUGUCGUUCGGGUUGCCUUCUCUGGAGUCUUUUCUGCCUUGCCUUAAGCACACACACACAUAUACAUAUACACAUACAUAAACAGACUCAUUCACUCACGACAUUUCCUUCUCCUGCUCCUGCUCCUGCUCCCAGCUACUGUUUCUCAUUCGCAUUUUCUUUGCCGCUCUGUUCCCCUCAGUUUCUCAAUUUCCACCAACAGAGCUGCCAACAUUUUUCACAUUUUGCACGGUCUCUCCUUUGGCAUGUGUGUGUGUUUCUAUGUGUGUGUUCUGUGUGACGUAUACGCAACGUGUGCCAUAUUUUUACAUGGCCGCCAGCUCCAUGGCCUGCCUGCAACUGACAGGAAACACUGCCUAUGACGACUGCCGCCACAGGCCAACAUUUGCUUCAGUUAUUUAGCGCGCCUCGCAGCGGUGCACCAGCCUUCCGCCACAACAUCCUUCUGCCUUCCACCUUUUCACAAAGAGCAGAUUGUUUUUCCACCAACUCCUCCCCCAUGGCUACGCCUAAGAGUGGUAUUCUGUGCUCCCCUCCUUUCACAUCUCAAUUUGUAGACAAUGUUGUGCAGUUUGUAUCGGGGGCUUACACGUUUUCUUAUUGCAAUGCAAAUUAACAUUUUUUUCCCACUGCAAUCGCACAGGGAGCAGGAAAUGGGAACAAAUUUCCUUACAAAUGAGGAGUCAGCGGAGGCAGCCGCAUGGCCAUACGCGAUUCCCGGCACUUGUGUAAAAUUUCAUUAACAUUGCGUCUGUCCGUGCUGUCAUUAAGUAAUCUGUUUGAUUCGAUGCUUCGGGUUGGCGCUGUGCUGUGGCUCUGCUCUUGCUCUGUGUGUGCUCUCCACCUGCCCGUAAAAUGCAUUAAUCAACUGUCUGGCAAUUUACUCCACACACCCACGCACACACACACACACAUGACUACAAAUUAAGAGCUGGGCGAAAAGAAUUUCAGCAGCCAUAUGUACAGAAUAUGUACAUGCAUCAGGGCUGUGCCAUUAUAUGUACAUAUAAUAAGUUCUUUAUUGUAUCUGAUAAAUAUAAAUGAAUGGCUUUCGUUUAUGUACAACACUUUUUAAGAGUUUAAGAAAUUGAGAACUGAAAUGGAGCCAAAGGUUAUGCAAUACAUACAUAUAUGUACAUAUGUACAUAUUUAUGUACAAUUUAUGUACGCAUGCAAUUUAUCUUCCCAAUAAACUCAAAUCGAAAGGGCAUGGGGUCAUUGGCUAUUAUUAGCAAAGUGUCUUAAAUUACAUAGUGGAAUCUUAUGCCAGAAGCCAGAAGCUUUAUCUUUUUGUUGCUUUAACUUCUCUGCCUUUAAAGGGAUUUAUCGUUGGGUUCCAUUUCAUCUUGGGUUUGCUCUCUUUGACAGUUGCAAUAACAUUUUAUCGCUUCCAAAUUCUCUGGCGAAAAAUGUACAGGCGACAGGGGGAGUCUGCUGGCCAAAAAUAAAAAAGCGGGAGCAUAUUUUUUGACAUUUUAAUAUUGGCAACCUUUUAAAUAUUCCCCCGUAUGUAAUGCCUCUCACAGUCUACCCCAAACCCAUCGCAAUCCCAGAGCUCUGCUCUACGCUACUCUACUCCCACGUCCACCCCACUUAGCUGUGGCUGUCAUUGCUUUUAAAAACUUUAUGACACUUUUCCGUUUUUUGGCAUACACUCGAGUGUUGGUGUGUGUGCGUGUGUACAUAUGUAAAUUACGAAACGCACAUCGGGAGGCGUCAGAGUUUUGAGUUGAAGUUUUUGGAGUAAGGUCAAGUUUUUUGGGUAUCCUUUUGCCGUGUGCAGAUGUACUUAUCUGCAUUGCCUGCCAAUCACAGUUCGCACUGUCUGUGUGUGUGUGUGGCAGAUUGGCUAUCUCUACGUUGGCUUUUAAGGUUAUUUUCUAUUCCAUUCCAUUCCAGCUGCUGCUGCUGCUGCUACUUUUAUGCCUUCUCCCAGUUCAUUGACGGUGUCGAUGUCGAUGUCGAUGUCGUUGUCGUCGUCGCAUUGCACAUAAAACAUUUUUAUUGCUCAUUUAGAUAUUUAUGCGCAGUUUUAUUAUAAUGAAAAUUGUGCGUAUGCGUGCGGUUUUUAUUGUGAUUGCAUUGAGGCCAAGACCGCAAAGAGAGACAGAGAGAAACCACACACACACACAGACACAGACAGCAGACAGAACUGUGCGUCACAGUUGGAGAGUUAUAGAUAGAGAGAGAGAGAGAGAGAGAGUCUGUGCUGCUGCUAUCCAAGUGUUUGUUCAAAACUUUCAACUGCACGUGUUUUGAUUUGCCAUCUCUCCUUCAAUCUCCAUCUCGCUCUCUCCCUCUCCGUUUCGCGGGUGGGCUCAAUUUUACGCAGCUUUUGCUUUUUGCAUUUUAUGCGUUUUCCUUUUUUACGAGCCUCACGUCGACCACAAACACACACACACACACACACAGCACACACACUCGCAGAGAGAUGGCAAACAAAUUCAAAUGGCAAAUGUCGCAAACGGAAUCGCGAUCCAAGCUGAUAAGUGCCCCACAAAAUAAGGCAACAAAAUUAUUUCUUUGCGUUCUGGCAGCAACAUUUAAUUGCAAAUUUAUGUGUAUUUGUGUGCGUGUGUGAGAAUUAAUGACCCUAACGAGCCUUGGUACUAUAUUGCCAUUAAUUAAUUUAACUGGCAAAUAACAUUUGCCCCAGGGAUAUAUUUAUCGAUGGGUUUACGCGCAGGUUCAAGUUUUACAUUUUAUACGCACAAUUUUAGCACGCCAUUCAUGCAAUUAUAUUAUCCAAUUGUUUAUCGACUAAAAUGCAAUGCAAACAGAGAGUGAAAACUCUGCUCAUAUUUCAGUGGCCCUUGCCACGGUCAUGUCAUGUAUCCCUACUGCAAUCAACCGAACAAUAAUAAUUAUAAAUCAAUUAAAGGCAUAUUUACAUAUUGCCUUUUGUCAUUAUCCAGUUGCAUACACAGAUAGACACAUGUACAUAUGUAAAUCCAUGCCAGAAGUGUGUGUGUGUGUGUGUGUGUGUGGUGGUUCUCUUGGGUGGAGCCAUAAAAGCAAUUUCAGACAAUUCGACAACUGAUUGACGGGCAAACUGUCAUUGACACUAACCACAAGCCACGCCACGAGCUGCUCUACUCCUCUGACUCACUCAACCUCUCCACUCCACUCCACUACACUACUCUCUCUCUCUCAUUCUCUGUUCCUUUUGCAUUUACAUCCCAGCAAGCUAAUGGUGAAUCCCGUUCCAUGUCGCUCUGCAUGUCUGUGCAUGUCUCUGUGCAGGCGGCGGCCUCCGUGCAUGCCGACAGACAAGAUUAAGCAAAUAUUGCGGUAAAUUCAAUUUUCAUUUCGAACGCACUGCCACGGCGCGACAUCGUCAGCGGUAAUGGCGCUUAAGUAUUUCUAUUUACUAAAGUUGCAAAUUAUAUUUGUUGACAAAUUCCAAUGGAAGAGAGAGCAACGUUUGGAGACUCCUAAUUAAUGGGUAAAACGGAACAUUUAAUCUCCUUUGAGCGGACUAAACAUAGAAAUUAACUUCUCCUCUGUUGAAAUUUUCAUUUUCUAACAGCUUAACAAAGUUUUAAUUCAAUUUAACAAUUUUCCAGGAAAACCCACAUAUGCUCUUUCAUAUGUAUGAUGUGAAUGGCUGUACUUUUUCACCUGGGUGUGUGUGUGGCACGCAUAUUUGAACACGUUCCGUCACCAACAUCUGGCCAGUUGUCUGCGAGAUGGGGUCAUCUCUGCGGAUCCCUGUGGCACAACCAUUUUGAGGGAAAUUGCAUCUAUCUACACCACCACCCACCCACAUAUUUCCCCUCAUUCUGGGGGUUCCAGCCAUUACUGCCCCACUGCCCACGCACUACGCUUCGUACACACAUAUUUUGGUCCAUUAGGCUCGUCUGUUGGUCUCUUGCUCUACCCCUCCCUCUGCAUGUGUCCCCCAUGAGUCUUGUUGUCGUUUGUGUCGCUCCUUUUGACUAAUGCGGCCACUGGGCAGUCAACUGUUUUACUUUUCUCUUUCUCUUUCCAUUUAGGUCUCUCUUUCGCUGUCUCUCUCGAUCUCUCCUUCUCUCUUUCUCUUUCUAGAAUACAGUUAGUUCUGUUGAUUCUGCCCUUUGGCUAACAACAGAAUGUUGUUUACUUUGCAUAUUAAAACCAAAUGAGAAUGCAGAAGCAGGGUCCAGUCCCAACAGCAACACAAGAACAGAAGGGAGGCCGAAAUGAUUGAUACCUUUUCCAGACGUUAGAUAAAUAUAUUUUGUAUGCCAAAAUAUGUUUAAAAGCAAAGCUUUUGACUAACUAAUUCCCAUUUUUCGUACGAAUCUUUAUUCGAACAGCGUUUCCAUAUAACUUCUGGCUCAGUUUUCCCGAUAAUAAAUAUAGUUUAUUCCCCAACUGUUCAAAUUGCAAGUGCCCCUCCUUCGAAAGGGUAUAACAAAAGGACAUUGUUGAGAGAUCUGAAAUGGACGAGUGGCUGCAGGGGCAUGGAUUGGACGGGUUGCCAAAGGGGUGGGCACUUAUAAGGCUACUUUUUCAUUUGUGACUCCUCCUCGCCCCCCUGCCACGUUAAACUUUAAUUAAUUAUAUACAGUUUGUUUGUGAAAUUAAAAAUUGUUGACUUUUACAGAAUCGCAAAAUGAUGACGAGGACGAUGGCGGAUGAGACGGAGUCCAGAGUCCACCCGCCAAGUGGAAGGUGGCUUGGCUUGGCUUGGCUU